GAGAGAGAAGUAGUGAGAAACGAUGCCGGCUGGAGGUUGUUGGACGGCAACAGUGGAAGUGGCCGGUCAGGUGAGGUCCAGAGAGAAAGAGACCCAAAGAGACCAGCAAAGGGAGAUGUGGGACCGAGAGGAGGAGAAGGCGAAUGGAUCGGUGAGGGGACGCCGGUAAUGGCUGCGACUGGUGGUGGCGACUGAGGCUAUGGACGGAAGAGGGUGGUCG
rnacentral:lncRNA from 1 species